rnacentral:lncRNA from 1 species
UUGGACUUGUUCUUGGUACUUGUGCAUGUUUCACUCCUUUUUGAGCUGGUUUUGAGUAAUUGUCACCUUUUUCACCAAACCCUUCAAACAAGUACAACAUGUAAGCCUUUGAGACUAUUUUUGUAUACAUAUUUAAUCAAAACUCAAGUAUAGAGGAGUGUAAAAUGAACUAUAAUCCCUAGUUAUCAGUAGUACCUUAGAAGUAAUAUCAUUUAAGAUGAGUUACGUCUCAAUUGUUUGGUAGUUGUUCUCCGUUCAUCAUUCUGAGCUUAUAGGACCCUUUCCUUGUGAUUCGAGAAUUUGGUACAACCCUUCCCAGUUCAGACCUAAUUUCCCUUCAUUUGGAUUUCAGAUGUUUAAUGUGAGCUUCCUCAGCACUAAGUCCCCGACAUUAAAAUAUUAAAGGCUGGCCUUCGAUUGUAAUACCUUUUGAUGCGUUGCUUUUGGGCGGCCAAUCGAACAAAAGUAGCUUAACGUUGUUCAUCCAAUAGCUCCAGGCUUGUAUUCAUGGCCUCGUCAUUCGAUUCCUUUAUCGCAUAUCAAAAUCUGAUACUCGGCUCCGUAACUUUGACCGGUAUUAAAGCUUUGGUGCCACAACUAAUGAGAACGGGGUGGCCCCGAUACUAGACUUCGAAGUUGUGUGAUACGCCCAAAAAACUUCGGGUAUGAUCUCUCUCCAUUUACCCUUGGCGUCAGUCAACCUUUUCUUGAGAUUUUGGAUUAUAGUUUUGUUGGUCAAUUCGGCUUGUCCAUUUUCACUAGGGUGAUAAGGUAUUGAUAAGAUCCUUUUGAUCUUAUGGCCUUCGAAAAAUUUGGUCACCUUGCUGCCGAUAAAUUGCUUUCCGUUGUCAUAUGAAAUUUUGGAUGGUAUUCCAAAUCGACAUAUUAUGUGGUCCCAAAUGAAAUCUGUCACACCUCCUUUUUACUACCCCCGGAAGGAAUAUAAGGGAGUUUUUUCCAAUUUAAGUGAUAAUAGAAACAUGAUUAUUUAUUUAAAAAACUAGAGUCACCACUUGGGAUAAUUUAUGGUGUACCAAGUUACCGGUUUAAAAUCCCAAAACGAGGAAGUUGACUCUUAAUCAUGGUCUGCGAACACAGAAAUCUGGGAAAGGAAUUCUGUUAAUCCGGGAGAAGGUGUUAGGCAUUCUCGGGUUCCGUAGUUUUAGCACGGUCGCUUUGAUCAUACUUGGCUUAAUAAAAUUGUCUAAUUACUCAUUUUAGAACAUAUGUGCAUUUACCUUUUUUAAUUAAGACAUUAUCUUAAAACAGGUCACGCGCACGUGUACCCAUUUAUUUGGCACGUCAAAAAUCAUGUCACGCGAAUGUGUCCACAAUUAAUAACGCUUUAUUAUUGUUAAGAAAGUUUAGUCGAAGUUGCGCGAACGCAUACUCCGGUUUUGUUUUUAGGAUCGUAAUUAUGUCAUGUGAACGUGUGCACAAUUACGGUGAUAGAUUAAGUCACGCUUAAAGCAAGCUACGAGGUUCAUGAAUUAUUUUACUAACUACUUCGAGAUUACGCGUGAAUGGUAUAUGAUUAUGGAGCACAUUCGCUAAGAGAGAUUUCAUGCUCGUAUUCUUUUAACCUUUCAUUUCUCGCAUUCGACCUAGCCCAAUUCCUAAAUAUGUGAGCAAUUUUAAUCACCAAUGGGCUAGGCAUUUCCAAAUUCAGAAAUUUAGCACGUGCUCUGUCCUUUGUGACACAAACACAUAAGUGAAGAGAAUGAUAACAGAAUCACAGCGCACAUAGAGAGUCGGAGAAAGAGCAAUAGAAAACCAUUCGACUACAAUAGAGAAUUGAUAGAGCUAGGAGGCAUUGAUAUGAACCAAACAUGAAAGGGCUGAAAGCAGAGACGAUGUAAGUGCGUAAAUCACAAAUAACGAUUUAUACAUCAUAUCCAUUGCAAUUUACCAAAUAAUCUCUCUUUAUUCACCUUCCUAACACUCUAGAUAUCCGUCAAAUUUAUACUUACCCAUAAAUAAAAUCAGUUGAAAAACCAAACUACAAAAUCCUCCAUUUCGGUUCAACAGAGCAUGUGAUAUUGAAUUCAAGAAGUAACUUAACAUGUACACACCAAUUCAUUUCAACCACAACAAAGCAAUUAAUAGUGAAACGGUCAUCCAUUUAAACCAAACUCACUGAAAACAAGCAUUAUGAGAUAGAGAAUUCGCCAAACCAUAUCAUGUUCUAGAGUUAAUAAUAAAAUCAAACAUUAAACAAACCAAACCAUAUUCUUAUUGCAUGAUCAAAUAGAAGAAAUGAAGCUUGAACCAACUGACCGGAUCAGGACCAACGACGGCAACCUCGAAACGUCAAUAAUUGGCUCCAAACAGAUCCCACAAUGAGUUCCAAAAUGGACUCAAACUAACGAAAACUUCAACAGCAGAAAAUGUGGCUCACGACCACCCAGAUAUUGAACUACAGAAAAGGAGGAAGCGAGGGAUCAAGAGAAGGAACGUCGAUUUCGACCGAAACCUAAUAGUCCGUGAAGUAUGAAAGCUGUGAAAUUGCAAGGCUUUUUCAGCGAGCUUGCCGGACAGGAAAUGGAAAAAUGGUUGAUUCUCUGCUUCAAUGGUUAGGACCUGCCGCUGCUCAAGAUUAACGAAGAUGGGGGAGGGCGUUCUUGGUCUUGUCUGCUGUUAGCUCUAGCUAAGGGUCCUUUUUUGUUUCUUGCUUCUUCAAGAAGAUCGAUAGGGGGGGG